rnacentral:tRNA from 1 species
UCCCUGGCUGUCCAGUGGUUAGAACUCUGCACUGCCAGUGCAGGGGGCGCAAGUUCAAUCCCUGGUCAGGGAA